GACGAACGCUGGCGGCGUGCUUAACACAUGCAAGUCGAACGAAGAGCGACGGAAGCUUGCUUCUAUCAAUCUUAGUGGCGAACGGGUGAGUAACGCGUAAUCAACCUGCCCUUCAGAGGGGGACAACAGUUGGAAACGACUGCUAAUACCGCAUACGAUCUAACCUCGGCAUCGAGGAUAGAUGAAAGGUGGCCUCUACAUGUAAGCUAUCACUGAAGGAGGGGAUUGCGUCUGAUUAGCUAGUUGGGGGGGUAACGGCCCACCCAGGCGAUGAUCAGUAGCCGGUCUGAGAGGAUGAACGGCCACAUUGGGACUGAGACACGGCCCAGACUCCUACGGGAGGCAGCAGUGGGGAAUCUUCCGCAAUGGACGAAAGUCUGACGGAGCAACGCCGCGUGGGUGAUGACGGCCUUCGGGUUGUAAAGCUCUGUUAAUCGGGACGAAAGGCCUUCUUGCGAAUAGUGAGAAGGAUUGACGGUACCGGAAUAGAAAGCCACGGCUAACUACGUG
rnacentral:rRNA from 1 species